rnacentral:rRNA from 1 species
GUAUUUAAUUUCCAGAGGUGAAAUUUCUUUGAAAUAUUAAAGACUAACUUAUGCGAAAGCAUUUAUUUUUGCCAAUAAUGUUUUCAUUAAUCAUUGAACGAAAGUUAGGGGAUCAAAGACGAUCAGAUACCGUCCUAGUCUUAACCAUAAACGUUGCCGACUAGGGAUCGGAGGGCGUGCACAUUCCGCCUUCGGCACCUUACGAGAAAUCAAAGUCUUUUGGGUUCUGGGGGUAGUAUGGUCGCAAGGCUGAAACUUAAAGGAAUUGACGGAAGGGCACCACCAGGAGUGGAGCUUGCGGCUCAAUUUGACUCAACACGGGAAAUCUUACCAGGUCCAGACAUAGCGAGGAUUGACAGAUUGAUAGCUCUUUCUUGAUUCUAUGGGUAUUUAUAAUUUUUGUUGGUGGUGCAUGGCCGUUCUUAGUUGGUGGAGUGAUUUGUCUGGUUAAUUCCGUUAAACGAACGAGACCUCAGCCUGCUAAAUAGUUACCUGUCUUUUUAUAUAUUACGAGACUUGAUAACUUCUUAGAGGGACGUUGUGUGCAACCACAAGGAAGUUGAGGCAAUAACAGGUCUGUGAUGCCCUUAGAUGUCCUGGGCCGCACGCGUGCUACACUGAUACGUACAACAAGGUAUAUGCAUUCAUGCAUCGAUGCUGCUCCGAGAUAGACACAGCUAAAUCUUCUAAAAUACGUAUCGUGCUGCGGAUAGAUCGUUGAAAUUAUGGAUCUUGAAGGUGGAAUUCCUAGUAAGCGCGGGUCAUCAGCCCGCGUUGAUUACGUCCCUGCCCUUUGUACACACCGCCCGUCGCUCCUACCAAUUUCGAGUGGCUCGGUGAACCUCUUUGGACUGUCGAGCAAUCGCGAAAUUAGAGUGAACCUGGUCAC